rnacentral:RNase_P_RNA from 3 species
UAGGGAAGGAAGGCAAUCGCCGCUGCUUUUACAGCAGGGGAGGAAAGUCUGGACUUUGCAAGAGAAGAUACCAGUGAAAGACUGGGGGCCGUAAGGCUACGGAAAGUGUAACAGAAAAUAAACUCUAGAUUAAUUUCUAGAAAGGUGAAAUGCCAGAAAUGGCCAUCAAAUGGAAACAUUUGUUGUGACAAACCCUAUCUAAAGCAAGAAAGUAAAGCGUUAAAGUUCUCUGCUUAUGCUUUACUUAAGUUCGCUUGAGGAGCUUGGCGACAAGCUCCCUAGAGGAAUGAUUGCCACCUAAUUUUUACGUUAGGGACAGAAUCCGGCUUACUACCUUCCCUUUUUU